rnacentral:lncRNA from 1 species
GUUACUCUACCUUGUAUUGGCUAGAUGUGACAAUAACUCUCAUGAAUUGUUAUUGUUAAGUUUGUGAACCAAGCUUUGUUUACUUGUGAAAUGAAAUUUUAUUUACCGCAUUUAAAUUUUACGCUUUCCGCAUUUAAAUUCCUGUCGAUAUUUCCUACUCUGUUUUAUUUUUGAUAUCUCCAUUCCUGUCCUUCUAUUUUCAUGGAGAUAUUUUUUUUGGAGUUUUGCGAUCGAGUUGAAAUUUUGUUCUUUUCGGGGAAAGUUACACUUUAGCUAUAUUCAACCCCCCCUCCUCUAUAGCCAAAUCCGAUCUCACACUAUUACUAUGUUUUCCGCGGUGGAUAACUUACCCCAAAACUACAUAAGCUGAACGCGGCCCAAAUCAGAUAGGAAACAAGGAAAUCGGGUAGAAGACCAGGCAGAAUAUGACUCGGAUUUAGCCGAUGGAGUCUAGAUUGAAUAAGAAAUAGAGUCCGAUUGGGCCUAGAAUGUUACAGAUAGAUUUGGGAAUAAUCAGAGUCUGUGAAAUUUACUUUUAUCUGUUAAUUAAAGUUAUUUUAGAUUUUUUAUUUAUCUCUAAGAGUGUUAGAGUCCGAUCGAGACUUGUGUGUUAUAGAUAGAAUCUAUAUAGGAGUUUGUUAUUUCUUUUUAUCUAUUAGGAGUCACAUGUCGUGUCCAACACGGACUAGC